CUACGGGGGGCUCCAGUGGGGAAUCUUGGACAAUGGGCGCAAGCCUGAUCCAGCCAUGCCGCGUGAGUGAAGAAGGCCUUCGGGUUGUAAAGCUCUUUUGUCAGGGACGAUAAUGACGGUACCUGAAGAAUAAGCCCCGGCAAACUUCGUGCCAGCAGCCGCGGUAAUACGAAGGGGGCUAGCGUUGUUCGGAAUUACUGGGCGUAAAGCGCACGUAGGCUGACAUUUAAGUCAGGGGUGAAAUCCCGAGGCUCAACCUCGGAACUGCCUUUGAUACUGGGUGUCUCGAGUCCGGAAGAGGUGAGUGGAAUUCCUAGUGUAGAGGUGAAAUUCGUAGAUAUUAGGAAGAACACCAGUGGCGAAGGCGGCUCACUGGUCCGGUACUGACGCUGAGGUGCGAAAGCGUGGGGAGCAAACAGGAUUAGAUACCCGCGUAGUC
rnacentral:rRNA from 1 species